CGAACUUAAUAGUAGUUGAUUACAAACCAGUAGUGGAGGAGGAGGAUCUCGGUCCGAGUACUUCAUCACUUAUCUGGACCGAGGCUAAAGGACAAUUAGACAUGGCUGUUUAUCUGUCUUGUGCGCGCAAAAAGUGCUCGGAGGGGUGUGAACAAAUGCUCGUUUGUGUGGCUGACUUGGGACGGAAGUGAUAAUGAGCGUAUAGGGGUUGACACCCCAUUAGAAUCCUCCCUCAUCGAUGAAUCACGCAUAGAAGAUGGAGAUCUAUCAUCUGUACGGUAAAGAUCGGCAGGGGGAUGGAUGAUCGGGUCAGCAGGGUCGUGCUCUGACAAUCAAUGUUAUUGGCGGAUAUUAUACGUACUGUAUUCGUCGUAAGCAGGGUGCUUACUACAAAAUCGCCGUUUCCGAAGAAUCUACUAUUACAAAAAGGAUUAUGCGCUAUGGAAACAGCUCAUACAUUGUCACCUCUCUGCCUGAUUUGGUCCGACCCAAAUCUCUGUCAUAUUCCGUAUAAUCCUUCUUCUUGCUACUAGACCGCCCAUCAUCAGUAAGGGCAACAUCUGUUCCGAAGGUCGCUUUUACCACCUGAACUGCUGUUUCUGUGUGCUCUUUGGGAGGACAUGAAUGAAAGGAUAUUUUGGAAGUUCUGUUAAUCUCUCCAGCUUCUUCCUUUUUUCGGGCUUCCUUCGCCUCAUGCGUCUGUAAAAGAACAAGCUAAGCGUUUUGCAUCACGAUAUAGACUCAACUUACCCGUAUGUGGCGUUUGCAAUUCGAUUGCACCGAAAAAUCGCGCCCACAUCCUGGCCAGUCGCAUAUAAAAGCUAACAAUGCAGUUAGUCAGCAGUGAUGCCUUGAGCGAAAUCAGCUCACGUCUCUCUCCUGUGUGUGUGUGCAUGUGCGUCUUCAGAGCCGAAGGGCGGGUGAAACGCUUCGCACAUACUGAGCUGAAGAACAUGUCUCAAUUCUAACCUUCAAGAUGAUGACGGCGCUUACCAUGGAUGAUAUCGUCCCUUCAGAGAACUUGUUUCACCAACUUCAAUUCCAAUUUUUACUUUUUCCCUACUAUUGAGGUCAAUAUCUAUCCAUGGUUGGACCCUUGUCCCUCCAUACUUCACAACAGUCGCAAUGUUUUUCUCGUUGCCCCUUUGAGACUGAUAUCCGGGCCGAAGGUAUUGUCGUAAGGGGAUCAGCCCCCUAUCGGGCCAAACAGAAGUGUGGGGCUCAAAUGGAGGUUGAAAUCGGUUCGACGCUGGCGAAGAAAGAUUUGGUUGGGAUGUAUAUCGUCUGGGCGACAUUGGGGUGGGAUAGGUACCGUAAGUGAGGCAUCGAUUAUGUAAGGUGAUAUCUUGCGAUUCAGGACUGGAGCGAGUACAAACAGCUGGCGAGGCCCACCCAGAGUCAAAGGAAUGUGUGGCAAUAGCUUUUGAAAAUGAACCGGAUAAUUGGCAUUCACAUCCGAGGAGGAGCCUUCCGCGGGAUCCUUAUACCAAGCUGCAUCUACCGUUUGCGAGUAAAGUGACGGGCCAACAUCGUCCGCCUGAGAUCUUGGUGAUGGGCAUUGCACAUUUACAGGGUCACGAGCCAGGAUGCCAGACCCUAGACUGGAUUGAUCAUCCAUUUUCUGAUUGAGCGAUUGGAAGCAAGGAAACCUAUAAUUUCCUUUGAUUGUUCGAGGGCGGAAAGUGCCUGUCAAAGAGUAUGAACGAAGAAAAACGAACGACCCCAUAAGUAAUGUCAGCUUUUGUCAGCCGACUGUUAGGAGACGAGCCUUUGUCACUAGUUGGUCUAGGAGUAUCACUCACAACUUGAAUUUCAAGUAUAUCACUUCCGACCUGUGUCUAACUUGGCAAAGGGAUCAUAGAAGACCAAUUAAGAAAGGAGGAUGACUUAGAAAGGUCUACAUGAAUAUCAGUCAAUGAAUGAUAAAGGACAAGGGAGGCUCCUCAGUAUAAACAUGAAGACAAUCAAAUAGUGGCAAAGACAUACACACUGUGAAAAUCCCUUGUUUUUACUGUGGUAUGAACUCGUGGAAAGUGAGCCGGAUGGUCAGGCAGCAGUUAGAAUAUUAGUGAGUGGCAAGAGUCAGACAGUCACUUCUAAUCAGUUGUCAAUCAAUGGAAAGAUGAGGCGGACAACGAACCAUGAGGACGUUGCAGAAUUAGUGGGGUUAAAUACCUGUGCGUUUUCACUUUCCACAUUUGAACUAUAAACAUGGUAGUCUUAUGGCUCUCGCUUUAUCUUCUGACAGGUAUUACUCUUUCUUCUUGAUCAAGCAGAAGCGCUGUUGUUUAGCUCGACAUUCCUGCCGAUCGGAGCUAGAGAUAGGUACAGUCGAGGAGGAGAAAGGAACCAACUGCACCUCCCAAAGGAGGGUCACUAGCGGGCGGAGAAGGCAAAUUGUCACGCUGAAUACUGCUAUGGUCUGUCUGUAAAAACAACAUCAGUACCAUUAGAUCUUAUAAUGAUCGUGGGAAGGAAUUCAGGGUAUGACAUUAUGAAAUCCUGAUCUUAGUGACGAAUUGCAUACAAUGUGUCUGACGGCGAGCAUCUUGAGAAGUAGGAUUCUUCAUUGGAUGCUGCAAUCAAUGAGGCCAAAUUACUGUUUGUGUUAAUAAUGGUGGCGGUUAAACCUCGAGGCAAAAUUUGUCUGACAAUAAUGCCACGAGAAAGACGACGACAUAUAUAAUACGAGGCUUCCUUGAAACUGGUAAAGUCACAUCGUCUUUUGUAUUUUCAUCCUGCUACCAUCAGAAUUCGGAUAGGGGAAUGAACAAACAUCUGAUGACCACAUACACUGUGGGUUUCUUUCUUGGGAGUCUGUAUCAUUCUUCUCUACCAAGCGAAUUAACCACCAAGCAAGUAAUAAUGAUCUUUAUUAGCGUAUUGUACUGUACAGCAUUGCAAGUAGUGUCGUCUCCAUCAUUCAUUACAUCAUUGAUGGGAUGCCACUACAUACCAACAUCCAGAUUGCAGUUUAGGACGCUGAACAGUCGGUGAAUCACCAUAUGACCGUAGAGAGAAGAGUGUCACCACCCCUUCAAACACGCUUCAAAUUUCGCUUCGGCAAUCAUAUACGUCAGUUCUAUGAGGUCAUGGUGGAAGUUCCAUGUCGUCUGUGGGUUGAUUGAUACAUUGAUCAUCAUUUUUCUUACAUUGCUGCUGUCUAAGCGCUAUUAAGAACCAGCGCCCUCUCUCCUCCUGGCCAAAACAGGAUUGUCGUUCGACUAGUGAUCGCGAUGGAGGCCCAAUCCUUCCUUUGACUCGAUGCUGCAGUGGUCACUAAAAUGACAGCAUCUCGGGCCUCUAGCCUUCACAAUGACCACUUUGCUUAGUAUAAUGAGAGACGGAUCAUUUACGAACUUGCAUGCAGAAUCACCAGUAAUCCACAUUCCUAGACUCACAUCUUCAUUUCAUCUUGAGGUUUUCGCUUGAAGCAAAGCGCGGUGCUUUUCAGUGCGAUUGUGAUCUCAGUAAUGUCGCCGUCGAUGAUGGCGCCUCUCAAAGGUCCAAUUCGCUGUUGCUCUUUCAUCAAUGUUGAAUCAGCGAACAUUGAACAAGAGAACCAAUAGAUUAAUUCGUGUCAUACACAAUAAAAAUGUUAAAAACAGCGACAGUGUUGUUUUGAAG
rnacentral:sRNA from 1 species